AUUGAACGCUGGCGGCAUGCUUUACACAUGCAAGUCGAACGGCAGCGCGGGCUUCGGCCUGGCGGCGCGUGGCGAACGGGUGAGUAAUGCAUCGGAACGUGCCCAGUAGUGGGGGAUAGCCCGGCGAAAGCCGGAUUAAUACUGCAUACGACCUGCGGGUGAUAGCGGGGGACCGAAAGGCCUCGCGCUAUUGGAGCGGCCGACGUCGGAUUAGCUAGUUGGUGGGGUAAAGGCUUACCAAGGCGACGAUCCGUAGCUGGUCGGAGAGGACGACCAGCCACACGGGGACUGGGACACGGCCCAGGCGCCUACGGGAGGCAGCAGUGGGGAAUUGUGGACAAUGGGGGCAACCCUGGUCCAGCCAGGCCGCGUGCGGGAAGAAGGCCUUCGGGUUGUAAACCGGUUUUGUGCGGGAAGAAAUCCUCUGGGCUAAUACCCCGGGGGGAUGACGGUACCGGAAGAAUAAGCACCGGCUAACUACGUG
rnacentral:rRNA from 1 species